AACUCGGAUUUUAGGGUCGCUGUGCUGUACAAGUCGGCUUUCCUUUCAUUUCCAAGACUAUGUUUUUAUAUACACCAAAGUAUGUUUAAAGAAUGUCAUCAAUAGGAACUUGUUUCCUAUAUAAUUACACAACUUUCAGCAACGGAUCUCUUGGCUCUCGCAUCGAUGAAGAACGCAGCGAAAUGCGAUAAGUAAUGUGAAUUGCAGAAUUCAGUGAAUCAUCGAAUCUUUGAACGCACCUUGCGCUCCUUGGUAUUCCGAGGAGCAUGCCUGUUUGAGUGUCAUUAAAUUCUCAACCUUCCAGCUUUUUAUAAGCUUGGUUAGGCUUGGAUGUGGGGGUUGUGGGCUUCAUUAAUGAGGUCAGCUCUCCUUAAAUGCAUUAGCGGAACUUUUGUGGACCGUCUAUUGGUGUGAUAAUUAUCUACGCCGUGGAUGUGAAGCAGAUUUAUGAAGUUCAGCUUCUAACCGUCCAUUGACUUGGACAUUUUUGACAAUUUGACCUCAAAUCAGGUAGGACUACCCGCUGAACUUAAGCAUAUCAAUAAGCGGAGGAAAAGAAACUAACAAGGAUUCCCCUAGUAACUGCGAGUGAAGCGGGAAAAGCUCAAAUUUAAA
rnacentral:rRNA from 1 species